rnacentral:rRNA from 1 species
UCUAGAGUAGCACUCGCAUAUCAAUAAGCGGAGGAAAAGCAACUAACAAGGAUUCCCCUAGUAACGGCGAGUGAAGCGGGAAGAGCUCAAAUUUGAAAUCUUAAAGGGUUUCCCUUUACGAAUUGUAGUUUAAAGAAGUGUUUUCUGUUGAGGUUUUGGUAAAAGUUCUUUGGAAUAGGACAUCAUAGAGGGUGAGAAUCCCGUAUUUGACCUUUACUUUCAACUUUGUGAUACACUUUCAAAGAGUCGGAUUGUUUGGGAAUGCAGUCCAAAAUGGGUGGUAAAUUUCAUCUAAAGCUAAAUAUUGGCGAGAGACCGAUAGCGAACAAGUACCGUGAGGGAAAGAUGAAAAGAACUUUGAAAAGAGAGUUAAACAGUACGUGAAAUUGUCAAAAGGGAAGCGUUUGACACCAGUGUUGUUUUUCUGAAAAUCAAUUAAAGAACUGUUUAUGCUAAGCUUGUUUAGACUUUAUCAGCUAUCUGUUUAGUUUUGAGCUUUUCUUUAAUGCACUUUUCAGUUAACAAGUCAACAUCAAUUUCUUUUGCUGUAAAAAAGCUUGAGGAAGGUGGCUUGAGAUUCGUCUUAAGUGUUUAUAGCCUCUUGCCUAUGCAGUCGGAGAGAUUGAGGUCUGCAGCGUAGAUCCUUCGGGGCUAAAUGCAUUUGUGCUAAGUUAUAGCAUUUUAUAGACAACUUGUUGACUAUGAUUUGUCUUGUAGCUUACUCGCUUAUGUUAUUUUACCUACGCUUAGGAUGUUGAGCGCAUGUCUCUCUCU